AUACGGAGGAUCCGAGCGUUAUCCGGAUUUAUUGGGUUUAAAGGGUGCGCAGGCGGCCAUUUAAGUCAGCGGUUAAAUCGUGGGGCUCAACCCCAUUCUGCCGUUGAUACUGGGUGGCUUGAUUGCGGUCGAGGUUGGCGGAAUUCGUUGUGUAGCGGUGAAAUGCAUAGAUAUGACGAAGAACACCGAUUGCGUAGGCAGCUGACCAGAUCGCAAAUGACGCUCAUGCACGAAAGUGCGGGGAUCGAACAGGAUUAGAUACCCUGGUAGUCCGCACAGUAAACGAUGAAUACUUGUUUUCGGCGAUAUAAUGUCGGAGGCAAAGCGAAAGCGAUAAGUAUUCCACCUGGGGAGUACGCCGGCAACGGUGAAACUCAAAUGAAUCGGCGGGG
rnacentral:rRNA from 1 species